rnacentral:misc_RNA from 1 species
CCCGCGAUCGUCCGGCGACGCCGGGCCCGACGCGGUCAGGCCGAUCACCAUGUAGGGCGCGCCGUCGAGCGUGGUGUCCUCGGUGCCGUCAGUCAGCAGGAUCGAUGAGCGCGGCGCCAGGGUGCGAACGGUUUUGAANACUGAGUUCGCCGAUCUUGAACGGCAUCAGGCUGAGCUGUUCCUCGGUCGGCACGUCAUUGCGCAGCUUCGCCGAGGCGAACAUCUUGCGCAUGGCGUCGUCGGAGAGGGGUUUGGC